rnacentral:misc_RNA from 1 species
GCAGAAUGGUUAGGUCCAUAUCCAGAUUCAUUUCCCAAAGACCAUGCAAUAAUGCAAGCAUGGUUCUUGUCCCUCUCCACCAUGCCAAUGACACGAUCUAGCAUGGAACUCGCCCAGAUUGGCUCUAGUGUAGGAUGCUUGAAAUCACCACAGUAAUCAAAACCAUGUGUUUCGAUAUUGGCUUCAUCUAUCAUGUAGAGACCGAAAAGAUCACACAACUCGUACCAUCUUGG